UACGUAGGGUGCAAGCGUUGUCCGGAAUUAUUGGGCGUAAAGAGCUCGUAGGCGGUUGGGUAAGUCGGGUGUGAAAACUCUGGGCUCAACUCAGAGACGCCACCCGAUACUGCUCUGACUUGAGUCCGGUAGGGGAGUGGGGAAUUCCUGGUGUAGCGGUGAAAUGCGCAGAUAUCAGGAGGAACACCGGUGGCGAAGGCGCCACUCUGGGCCGGAACUGACGCUGAGGAGCGAAAGCGUGGGUAGCAAACAGG
rnacentral:rRNA from 1 species